rnacentral:lncRNA from 1 species
CAGAGACACCUCUGCCCCAGCCCAGAAGUGCAGGCCACUGAGCCCGACUGUCCCCUCUGGAGCUGUCCUCGCCCAGCACCCGUUUCUGCCUGGAGGAGUGAAGGAGGACCUGAGCUCUGUUCCUGACUGAUGGACGCCUGAGUGCUCCUACGUCCCCAGCCCCCCUCAGCACCGGGUGGUGCCCACCCGGGUCCCGUGCUCUCUGGAGCAGGCAUGGGGACCCCACCCCUGCACACCCCGGUGACCGGCUGGCUCUGCUGCUGCUCCCGUCCGGGCUGCGGCUGGCGAUCCCUCCAGUCCCCAAGAUGCUGCUUCCCAUCCUCCUUUAGAAAAGCCGGCAGGUUUUCUUCUCGCCUAUCCAACCUGAUCUCCGUCGUUUGUCUCAGGGAUCGACCACCAGCAGUUCCUCUGAAGAGAAAGUUACCCAGUGGGCCUCCCCUCGCUAAGAAGCCCUAUCUGCUGAGAAGCAAACAUUUCAAUUUUAAAGGUUAGAGUGAGGGGCCUGGGGUGAGCUCGGCAACAGAGGCCUUUCCUAGCAUGCACCAGGCCCUGAGCAUCAUCUCCAGCACACACACCAUCCAAGGAAAAAAGCAAAACAGCCCGGUGUGUAAACCUCACACCUACGGGGAGUCAGCUUGCGUUGCCUGUUCAUCAGAAGAAAAGAAGAUGAACUGUGAAGGGAACCAGGCUGAGGAGCAGUCUCGAGGGCACGCAGGACCUCACCACAGGGCCUCUGUGUGCCACCUUCGACAGCGGACACAGGACCUGCACAGAAAGCCUUGGCCCCUUGCGGGCUCGGAAAUGACCACCCAGAAAAGUCUCAGGAAACGUUGUCAUUGCAAAGUCGUGGUGUUUGAUAUUUCAUCUGUUUAUUUGUAGUGAUUAAAAAUAAAACCCAUCAUGUAAUAACAA